AUGUCGAGCGAGGUUAGCAAUAACCUAGCGGCGAAUGGGUGAGUAACACGUGCUUAAUCUACCUUUUAGAUUGGAAUACCCAUUGGAAACAAUGGCUAAUGCCGGAUACGCAUGGAACCGCAUGGCUCCGUUGUGAAAGGCGCUGUAAGGCGCCACUAAAAGAUGAGGGUGCGGAACAUUAGUCAGUUGGUGAGGUAAUGGCCCACCAAGACUAUGAUGUUUAGCCGGGUCGAGAGACUGAACGGCCACAUUGGGACUGAGAUACGGCCCAAACUCCUACGGGAGGCAGCAGUAGGGAAUAUUCCACAAUGAGCGAAAGCUUGAUGGAGCGACACAGCGUGCACGAUGAAGGUCUUCGGAUUGUAAAGUGCUGUUAUAAGGGAAGAACAUUUGCAAUAGGAAAUGAUUGCAGACUGACGGUACCUUGUCAGAAAGCGAUGGCUAACUAUGUGCCAGCAGCCGCGGUAAUACAUAGGUCGCAAGCGUUAUCCGGAAUUAUUGGGCGUAAAGCGUUCGUAGGCUGUUUGUUAAGUCUGGAGUUAAAUCCCGGGGCUCAACCCCGGCUCGCUUUGGAUACUGGCAAACUAGAGUUAGAUAGAGGUAAGCGGAAUUCCAUGUGAAGCGGUGAAAUGCGUAGAUAUAUGGAAGAACACCAAAGGCGAAGGCAGCUUACUGGGUCUAUACUGACGCUGAGGGACGAAAGCGU
rnacentral:rRNA from 1 species